CAGUGCCGUGCUGGCUCCCCGCCCGCUUCCCGCCUCCCCCCCUCGCGGGCCGCCAUGUUGUCCCCCGGCGCGGCGGCCGUGGUGGAGGCGUGACGAAGCAGAAAGGUUGCAUCGGAGCCCUUCCUUUGACGCAGAGGAGGAGUUCUGCGUGCAGCAGGGCCACAUGUCAGCAGGAGAAGUUGUCAAGCUCUCCCCACCCGUCACACCCCACCAGGGCCUGUCUGUAAGAUUGAUGCUUUGGAGGAUCUCUGAGUAUUUCUGAAGAACUAAAGAAUUAUGCCUCACAGCAGCCCAUAAGGUGCUCAUCCCACUUACGCAGAGGAAGAAAAAUGGACUGUAAAAGGAGCCCAUGGGCAAGAGGCUCUAGAAGGGAGAGAAGAGCUUUUCAAUGGCGUCUGUUUGCUCCUGCCGACCAGCCUAACUUACUUCUGCCUUUAACUGGCUGAAGGAGAAGAGCUUACAGGGUGAGCAGAACCUGAGACUGUUCAGCUUCACAAGGAAACAGUGGAUGUGCAGCAAAUAAAAACCUUUGGGAGAUGUUAAUCCUGUUAUAUGGAUGGUGCCAGUGCAAAGCUUCCUUGAAGUCAGCACUAGUAGGGCGGGCAGGUGAGAUAUGAGAUGGGUGGGACAAGAAUUCCAGGACACCUCUUGGGCCACUCAUAAACUUGUGCAAAUCCAGGGCUAAGGGUUCUUUGUCCCUCCUACAGCUUAGCUGCUCACAGUGCUGUGGCUGAAGGCUGGAAAACAGCACAUACGCUAAGGUGAAAAUAGCAGCACACGCUGUAUUUUGUGCUGUUCUCUCUCCUGACGUAAUCAAGUACUGUAAGUUUUACACACCAGCGCACAGAUUACUGGCAUUUACUAGGAAGCACGAGGAGUAGGCUGGCAACUGCUUGGAGGCACGCGGAAUAUUCAGGCAAUUGCUCCAGAGCAUGGGGAAUGCACAAGCAAUUCAAUUCCCAACUGGUUUCUAGGCAGGAGCUACCAAUUAAAAUUAAAAGAAUAAAAGACUGCGAGCUUGGGACUGAUGAUGUGCUCUGGAGAGAGGAGUUGCCAACAGCUUGUGCUACAAAGAUGCCUCUCUUUCAGUGGAUUUCAAAUGGCAAAAGAAACUCAGGUGUUUGGUUCAGAGGGGGCUGUGAGGCCUCCAGAUGCUUUGAAAGGCCCCCCUGGCUCACCCUGGGGCUGGAGGAAGGCAGACUUUGACGGAGAGGAGAUCCAGGGAGUUGGCACCUGGAGCAAUGGCAGGGCUCUGAGGCACUAUUCAGUGGUCUUACCCCGCUUCUGCUGCGCUGAUGAAGCAAAAAUAAACUUCCUGUACUUAGACAGAUUUUAAACAUUUUUUUCUACAAGACAGAAACCAGAUGGAAUAUUUUCACAGCUGACACCAAAAUUCGCAGUUUUCGUGACUUCAGUGAUAUUAUGAUUUAUACAGGGACUCUAUGUGUUGGCAGCCUCGAGCAGACAGCCUCUUGCCAUUCAAGCUUUUAAACGUUAUUUGGAUUGAUAGGUCAAAAGAUUCUGUGAGCUGUGUGCAACGUGAAGUAUCACUGGAUUUAAACGGUAACUGCGGACUCUUCUUGUUCUGUAUCUUGACUGUAAGGCAUAAUAAUAAAAUAUGUUAAAAGGGGCUCGCUCCAAAAGGGAUAGCAAACCCUUAGAUGCCUUGAAAUUAAUCAUUUGUAGAGGUAAAUGAAGAAUUGUCAUGUCAGGUCAUGAGCACAAAGCAGGCUAUUGACUUGAAGCCUUCGUUGGCUCUCUUAAAGCAAGAGGUGAGUGGCAGCAGGCAUAGUGCUGGGGCUGCUGGUCUCACAGACAAUAUUUUCAGAUGGCCUUGAAGACUAAAAGGAGUUAAAGGGGUUUUUCUCCCCACUGGAGAGCGAGCAGCCAAGUAGAAGCUGCAGGCAGCUGAGGUAAAGGGCGAGGUGGGGGAGUAGGCCCGCAGAGCUGGGCACAGAUGGGUUUCUCUUUGCUUCCCCUUUCUUUGCUCUCUCUUUGUGCCUGGAUCAGCUGCUGUUCACUGCAGG